CUUUUUCAGGAAGCCAAGUCCAGUUGUAGUGGUGGUGUCUGUCCACCCUUGUGGAUAGGAGGGGUUCCAGGAUACAUGGUUCAUUCCAGAAACAGGGUAAGCUGCAGGGGGGAAAGGUUGGCAGCUACUGCUUGCCCAGUCCAUCUAGCGUUGUACAUAGACCGAUUCUUGGUGAAAGCACCCACCUGGGCCCCCCUCCACAGAGUUCGCCCAGUUCCAAGUCUGUGUGUGUGUGUGUGUAUCGCUGUAGGUAAGUUUGUGUGCGAAUAUGUAUGUGUGUGCAUGCAUGCACGCAUGUAUGUAUGUAUGUGUGUACGUAUAGGUAGGUCUGUAUUUGUGUGGGGGUAACUUUUUAUGGCUGCUACAUGCUAGCAUCUCCCUUAACAUUAUUAUAAAAUGAUAAUUCAGUUUCUUCAAAGGCCACUCUAGAGUAGACAAUGCUUUAUAAAACUAAGGUUUGGGAAGGCAGGAGAAUGGCCACUGAGUCGGAGAUGAUUCCACACGGUUAAGUCUCCUUCAGUGGCUUAAAGGUCUUUUGUUCUUCUUCGGGAUGUGCUUUCCUCCUCCAGAAAAAAAGAAAAAAGAAAAAAGAAUACACAGUUCCCGUUUUUCAAAGGCGUUGGGCUCCCAAAGAGGAGGAUCUGCCCGUGGAGGCUGGGGCCCCGGCUCCGUGCUGUUCGGCCUGGCCAUUAAACCAUGUGCACGGACAUCUGGGAGGAGGAGCCUGGGACCGCCCCGUACUGCCGGCCGUCACAGGUGUUAGUCGCCUGCUGGUUGUUGGGCGAAGGGCUAAUCAUGUGCAUGCUGUGCUCCAUCCCCGUGGGCAGGUACUGCCUCUCUCCAAAGGCCCCGUUGGAAGGAGAAGAACAGAGUAAAGUGCUUUGAGAGGCGCUCAGUUUUUCCGGGCUUGCGGCUAGCCUCGGAGAAGUGGGGAAAUUGUAUCCGUACAGGUUGUAAGGGUUGUGGAGAGAGAAGGCGUUAUAGGAGCUCUGCUGCAUGUGGCUGCCCCCGAACAUGUGUGGUGAGGAGGAGCUCGAGGCUGCAUUGCCCGCCUGCAUGACAUACUGGAACUGGGAAGUGGGGAAGGACCCCAGCUGGCCACCGUAAGCUUCCAUCUUGCUGUUGCUAGGCAACGAGGGAGGAGUCGGUAUUCCUGAGAUCAGGGAUGGAGUCCUCUGAGGCAUGAAGGUUUCGGAGGGCUGAGUGGCUGAAGCAGUGCCACUCUGGAGCCUGUUGUAGCCACUGUCACUCAGCCCCGGGUAGCUCUGCAAGGCAGCCAUGUUGCUUCGGGCACAUGGUGGAUAAUCAGAGAGGUUUAGAUUGCACAGCUGGCUCUCUCGACAGCCCACGUUGAAAGUGUUGGGGGCCAGGUGAAAUGUUGGAGGAGAACAGGAUGGAGACAAAAGAAUUAUAUUUGCGUCUGAGGAUGAAACUUACACAAAAGUGUGCAUGGCCAACAAGGACUUUUCAAGGAAUCCUUUUAAUAUAAAGGAGUUUGGGAAGGGGGCAGCUGAGAAGGAGGAGGAAGAACAUCUCCCACUUCUUGUUUUUGGACGACUGCGUGGCCUCGGCGACAGGGCCGGCCAGGGAAGGUCAGAGAUUCGUUUUCUGCAAGCGGCAUUCUGCACACAUCUUCCUCCUCUUCCACCCUAAACACUAUGAGCUUCGGUGAAAGCAGCGCUGUGGCACAAGUGGAGAAACUUGACUCCAGCUGUAAAGAGGUUUGUGUUUUAUGGGAUAUGUAUCUGGUCUCCUCUCUUUGAAGGUCCGUUCUUGCUCUCCCAGAUCUGGUGUUUAUGGGGUCCCCGAAGAGACCCCCUGUUCGGCACACUGUACCGUCCUGUUGUGGGUUCGCUCUGUCAGGCACUGGCCCUCGCCCUGCAGCAGGAAGCGCAAGAUGCAACAGAUGACUUUUUACAACUCUAAAUGGUUUUCUCAGAUGGCCCGAGAUGGAACGAAUGGUACUGAUUUAAGGCCUCAAUUGGUUUCACUACAAAAAAAUAAGAAGGGAGCUAUUAACAAGUCACAGGGAUUUCUGCUGAGCAGAUGAGAGGUACAUGUUAAAAAGUUUGUAGUCAGCUUGCUUUGGCUUUUAGAUGACACUCCCUGGAAAUGAGACUUGGUGGCCUGCUGAGUUUCAGGGGCGGGAGCCCCCACAUGAACCAGUGUUUGAAGCUGGGGAGCAAGCCUGUCCAAGAGAAGGUCACAUUGCUUCCAUUCACUUUGAAGAAGUGCUCUUGUGCACUUAAAGUACUCAAUACAAACGACAGCUAGUUUUCAAAGUCCACAUAGAGAAUACUGUGGCACUCAUUUUGCAGAGAAGCAAACGAGAUACCGAGAAGUCUUUACUCUCGCAUGAUCUUACAGCUUGUCGGCUGUUAAACAAGAUCGGAAGUGCCAGCCAAGCACUAAAUAAGCGUAAGGAGGCAGGCUGCCCUCCCUGUGCAUCUCAACACUCGGCUGCCUGAGGCCUCUCAUCACAAAAGAGCUAGGGCAGAGUGGAAAGCCAGGCGACACUGAUACAAAGGGGGCAGAGCUGCCUCUCAGAGAAAAGCACACCUCCCUUUCUUGUAUAACAUUCUCGCCUCACCCCUCUGCCACAGCCAGGUCCUGAAUGCUCUCAGGGUCUUGAUUGAAGCUUUAUUUAAUAGAUGAGUGUGGGCUGUAGCGUUUGGAUUGCCCAGCUGUCUUACUGAUUACAGGACCUUGCAAGUUAGCCUCUCUCUAUACAAAUGGAAUUUCGGGUAUCUACCUUUGUAGAGAUGUUCUGAGAAACAGAUGAAAUAACAUAUAACACAAAGUGCACAAAGGCAUUAAAUAUUUAUUUCCUUUUCUUUUCCCUUCUGUCAGUGAAGAAGGAGUGAAAGAAGGAGAAAGGAAUCACAGGGCAUUUGGGUUCUGAUUGGGAGACUCUCAGGUGUUGGCUUCUGUCUAUGGAGCUGAGCAUGUCUGGCCUCCCCACACUCUGGUGAGCAUAUGUCACAGCUAGAUGCCCGGAUGUAACAGGCUGGAGGAGCCUCCGUGGUUGCGAAUGACAGAGCACUGGGCCCGUGACCACUAUGGGCCCACUAAGCCUGUACUCCCAAAGGCUAAACCAGCUCUGUUUCCUCUCUGAACGAUCUUUCCCUCUCGCCUCACCCCUGCCUAGAAUGGAAAUUCCAUGCUCUGUGUCUCUAUUCUCAGAUCAAGCAAGCGGAAUUGAACACAAAUAGGUAGGUUGGUGUCUUUCCCACUGUCCCCAGAGGCCUUAAUCCAUGUCUGAGAGGUGAUUAAAAUGUAAUGCCCUAAGUAGCUGAAAACUCUCUGGUAUUCCAGGACCAAUCCCCCACCCGCCCCACCUCCCUGCAUCUUGUUUUACCCAUGGACCCAAGUGAGGAGA